UUUAACCGGUUUAACCGGUUUAACCGGUUCCGGUUCCGGUUUAACCGGUUUAACCGGUUCCGGUUAAAAAAAAUUUGGAACCGGACCGGUAAAUUAAUAUCCGGUUAACCGGAACCGGUUAACCGGUAUAACCGGUUCCGGUUCGGUUCCGGUUUAACCGGUUCCGGUUACCGGUUAAACCGGUUACAGUUUAACCGGUUGACACCUUUAGGUGCGGACCAGAUGGCAAAAUUGAUGAAAACCUGGGUUGAAAGUGCUAAAAGUACUGGCAAGCUAUCGAGGCUACUGUUGUAGAGAGUUGCACAAUAAUAAUUGUAUCUUUGAUAAUAGUUUCUUCAUAGUUUGGGAAAAUAAAACGUUACCUUUACGUGUAUGUUUAAUUACUACUAUAACAUUUUAAUGUAUUAGAUGCAUUGUAUGAUAGUACAACUAUGUAUUUGAAAUUACAAUUACCAGUUCAA